rnacentral:lncRNA from 1 species
CUCAUUAACCAUUUUUGUUGAGAAAGAAGCGUAUGCUUGGUGAAGAAAUCAGAACGUAAGAGAAUGUACCAUAGAGAAGGGCUCUCCUCUUCUCUGGCUUUUUAGUCUUUUUGAGUCAGGUUUACUGACCAGGUGCCUUUGGUGCCUAUCCAGCUGGCCUUCGGCAUAGGCCCUGCUGGGACUUCCUGAGGCGCGCCUCCCUUCAUCCUUUAAUACAGUCAUCAGCUCCACUGCAAGCUGUGUUUACAGGGAGUCUGCAAAAGAGUAGGGAGGGAAAGAGGAGCAAGCCUGAGAGACCAGUGCCUGCUGGCUCAUGGGCCGAGGGUGUGAUACAUGCUCAGUGAACCCAGCUAGGCUCUUCUAUGAUGUCAGUUUUGGUCUGUCUCUCUUACCCCCUUUUCUCUCCCUCUAUCUCACCUUUGUCUCCCGUCUUUGUUUUUUCUCUUCAUUCCUGUGCAUUUCUUUGUAUUUCAGCCCCCUGCCCCUGCCCCAACAAGUUCAUGCCUUCUUUCUUCUGCUUCUCUGGUCUUGCUUUCUUCCUCUGCUUGCAGUUUUUAUUCUGCCGUUAGUCAGGGCUUCUCUGGUUUUUUUACUUCAUGUAGUUCUAGACUCUAAGGGUACCUUAUUGCUUUAAGAUAUACUCAUUCUCUAGGUAUUCUGGGAAAGAUAGCUUACAGGCCAAGAUUGGAUCCAUUGUUUGGCUGUUGAGCAAGUCCUAAGAAGGAGAUAGACAGGGGCUGGGGAUUUAGCUCAGUGGUAGAGCGCUUGCCUAGCAAGCGCAAGGCCAUGGGUUCGGUCCCCAGCUCUGAAAAAAAAAAAAAAAAAA